GAGCCCUACGGGGGGCAGCAGUGAGGAAUAUUGGUCAAUGGGCGGGAGCCUGAACCAGCCAAGCCGCGUGAAGGAAGAAGGCGCCAAGCGUCGUAAACUUCUUUUGUCGGGGAACAAAGGGCGCCACGUGUGGCGUUGUGAGUGUACCCGAAGAAAAAGCAUCGGCUAACUCCGUGCCAGCAGCCGCGGUAAUACGGAGGAUCCAAGCGUUAUCCGGAUUUAUUGGGUUUAAAGGGUGCGUAGGCGGUUUGAUAAGUUAGAGGUGAAAUACCGGUGC
rnacentral:rRNA from 1 species